UAAAACUCUUGACUUUGCACAGCCACAGCGCCUGUAACGUUUUGGCCGGCGACAACUAUGAAUACAAUUGCUGGCAGGGAAAUCAUAACACACAGCCUCUGUUAAAAAAUUGUCCCGUUCCCGUUUGUUACACAACUCAGCAUUCUAAAGUUACAUGGCUCACCGCUGGACCGACAAUCGUACGUACACAGAUACAUAAAAAUGGAGCCUUGACCUAAAUCGAUAACUUAGAAGACUCGAUUGAAUAAUAAGUUAUGGAAAAUUGCAAAUUAUGAAGAAAAAUAUUACAUGACAUACACAUACACACACGACCAGGAUGGAGACUGCUACAACAGGUGAAGCCAGCAUGCAGCGCUGCUGCAAAACUGACCCAGGAGGAGCUUCAGCGGCCAAAGUCGCCCAUCGCCUUGGUUUGACUUUUUCCGCCACCACCCGAAGACCAACAUCAGUGAAAUGCGGAGUGUUCUGGUUCGAGCCCCGAGGCACUCAGAAGCUGGCCAGAUCCAAUGACCUGCUAUAGCUGUCCCGUUUAACCUGUCCUGACCGAGGCCGAUCUGGCAGCGAGACUGCCUAACCAUCAGCUUUCUCAUUCAGAAUCCACGGGGUCAGCUCAGGUCAUAGCAUGUGGGUAAGGAGCAAAGCGAAUUGUAAAUUUGCUCGGCCUUGGGGCGCCUAGAUGCAGUUCCUCUGGUGCACUGGUAGAAUAGAUCAAUUAGAAAUCUUAGUUUCUCUGCAUGAGCAUCAGAUGUGAUCCCCAACUUCAGCCUUGUAAUUGGCUCGUCCACUGUCCAGAACGCUUCUAAUUCUUUAGUUAGCCUUGGCCUUUGUUUCUUCCUCUGAUGAGAUAGAAUUCAAAAGAUGUUACUUCCUAUAUGUUUACCCGAAACAACAAGCAAAUACAAAAUAUACAAGAGCCAACUUCUGAUGUAGAGGUCUUACCUUUAUGAGAUCAUAUAUUUCUGAAUCUGGUAGUCCCUCGUAGGGUAUGCGAAGUGUAAGCAUCUCGAAUAUAAAACACCCAUAUGACCAGAUAUCCACUUCCUGCAUCAAAGCCAUAUUUAAACGCAUCAAUACCGCUUUAUUUUGGGGUGUUGGUUGGGGCUAGGACUAUAUCUGAUUAGCAUAAUCUGGUAGGUAGGUAGGGGCCUAUUUGCUGAUAUUAACAUAGUUUAUCAAUUCAAGUGGAUCUUGAUAAUAUACUGAAAUCCAAGUGGCUUUACACUAACCAAUAACAUGACAAUGCACAUUACUGUACACAGGAUAGUCAGCAAUCAGAGUAAUAAUCAUCACACAGGAUACAUGGCAAUGCACAUUACCACACACAAGUAUAAAUGUUUAAGAUUAGCUAAUGCAAGCAAUGAAGAAAAAUUAGUGUUCCAGUAACACAUCAUGAUAAUAACUAUCAAAUAUUGGAAUUUUCAAUCAGAAACAUGGCUGAGCUACUCUGUAGUACAUACUGUUCAGAGCUAUUCAAUAUGAGUUGAGAAAAAAAAGGACAUCGCAAUGUUCAAAUGAAUGCUUACCAGUCCAUACUGGGUUUUCUCAUGCAUGGCCUGAAGAACCUCUGGAGCCAUCCAACAAGGUGUCCCAACACAAACAUUGGGUGGAUAUGUGCCAAGGUGAGCUAUACAGCAUGUAUGGGAUAGAGAAUGCAAAGGAAUGGAUCUGUCGAAAUCAGAGAGUUUGACUACUGGUGUCCCAUGACUCCUCUUCGAAUCCAAAUCAACCAAAACAUUCUCGCUUUUUAUGUCCCGGUGAAUAACUAGCUUCCUGUGCAUCUCCAACAAAGCAGAAGCAACUUCUCGAGCAAUGUAAAAUGCCAGGUCCACAGGUACAUGUUUCUUGCCCUCUUUCAGUAGUUUUGUCAAAUAGCCCUAAUUUGGAAAUAAAAGAUCCAGUUAUCACUGAGAACAUCUAAAAAAAGACUUCAACAAAUACAAGAAGGCUCAUAAUGAUGAACAAAUGAAUUUACCUUCAGUGAACCUCCUUUCACAUAUUCCAUUAAAAUUACAGACUGCAUUAUCCUGUACUCCUUAUCACUAUCAUCUUGAACCCAUUUAGAAGAAAGUUGGUGACCAUAUAUGUCCACUAUGGAUCUGUGCUUCCUUAGAGCAUUCAUCAUUCUUACUUCCCCAAGAAGCUUGUAUUCAAAUUUUUUUACUUCAUCAUUAGAAGCACGCCGGGUAUCUAGGUACCGUAUCUGCAUUUGAAACCGACGCCAAGUAAAUACAUGAAACAUAGUAAAGGCACCAAAGAAAUUUAGAAGGCAAAAAAAAUAAACCUUUGCUGCUGCAUCAACUGAACCAAUUUUGCAGUGGUAGACAGCGCUGGAAGCUGUAGCUUCAAUUUCUUUGCAUAGUGAGACCGAAGGGAAGGAAGACCGAGGUGUAUAGCCUUCAUCAUCAAGCGCAACGUGCAGUCGACUGAGGGGAACAUACCUGAAACCACGUGCACAUAAUUAGUAACGAAAUAAUUUUGUAGUCAGGAAGAAUCACUGAAUAAGCAUGUAGCAUGUACUUUUGUUUUCAACACCUCCAUGAAGCAGCAUGAUUAAAAUUUAAAUACUAGAUCAGCAGAUAAAGCCCCCUAAUAUCAGGCAAACAAAAUAACAAACAAAAGAGUAUGCAAGAACAAAGCAAUAACUGAAAUGAAAGACAUAACAAACCAUAUCAUACCAAUACAGGGUGAUUAGACACGAUGUACUAGCAUAUCCUGACAGCCUGACAGCUACAUAUCGUACAAUAUUUCACAAUAUCCAAUCUUGCAAUCGCACACAUAAGGCAUCGGCAAUUGGCAUUAUAAGUUCUCAUCUUAUUACACAUACUAUUACAAUAUUACUGACCUUUUGCAAUUUAAGUCAUAAUAAAGUUAGAUAACUUCCUCCGUCCUGGUUUACUAGUCCCCCUCAUAUUUUGGGUCAUACUUUGACCAUGAUUUUAACUAAUAAAAUAUAAGUUACAUGUAGCAAAAAUAAUAUCAUUGGAAACUACAUCCAAAUACGAAUCCAAAAUAAUAUUUUUUGGCGACAUGCAUUAACAUUUUGUUGGUCAAAUAUAUGAUCAAACUUUAACCCAAAGUACGAGAACUAGUAAACCAGGACGGAGGUAGUACAUAGCACAUGAAUACAGUAUAAACUACAUAUGGCAUUUGUGUAGGCCAUGUUUUUGACCUGAUCACAAAAUUGACAUAACACUGAAACAGCAGUAACAAUAUAAUGACAAUAUGACAGAACCAGCAUAGUGCAAGUUAGUUGCUACCAUAAAUUCAAGGUAAAGUGGAGUCAGUAUUUUUCCCUAUACGAUCACAAGGCACUCACCUGCAGAAGUACUCUGGAUCCGUCUCUUCCUUUAUGUUCGUGGGGUAACACGCAUCAACAAUCAUCCUUACCAAGAUAUUCCCUUGUCUAAUAGGGACAACAUUCCAAGCAUGAGGCGUGUAGUCAAGAUGCCCCCUCACAAGCUCACAAGGAAUUGGAGGGUCCGCCCGGUCACACAAAUACUGCAAUAGAUAAGGUAGCCAUGUCAAAGCCUCAACUGAUAAACAUAAAACAUAAGUCAGAUAACAGAACAACAAGGUACCUUCAUUAGGACAGCUCGGUGCCUGCAAACACCAAACUGCAAUGCCCCUAUUGGUACAAUGCCUGAAUUAUUCCUUUCCUUAAUGAUGUGUAUUGAUUUAUCACAGAGACCAGUAAAAUUGAAGUGCCCGGGAGGGGUACUGGCUUGUUUUGAUGCUUCAUUGCUAUCACACAUGCUACCGGCAGCACAAGUACAAAUGAAUGGUUGCUCCUUCCUCAAGCUAACAAUAGCUCCCCGUGUUCUCCUCAGAGAAGCACUUCGAUCACAACCUCCAAAACAGUCAGAGACAAACAAAGCAAGAACUGAUGCCCUUAGCAAGUCCUGACCUGCAUCUUCAUCUGUUUCGGAAUAACUUGGCCUCUUCAAACUGGAUAACAACAGUUGUGCUGAAGAAGCAAUUGCGUCCAAUUCUUCAUCUUGUUCUCUUAAGAUAAAGAAGCAAAAAAAAAGUUAGGCAGAUUGCAAACAUAUCCUAUGCUCUCAGAUAGACCAAUCAGAAAGAGCAUACAGCAUAUAAAAAAGCAAAUUACCAAACAACGGAUAGGAAUGUGCACUGACCUGUCCAAAAGAAUAACUUCACGCGCAUACAGUCCGAGACUCCGUUCGUACUCCUCUAAUGGCAUGAACGGCAUAUCUCGCCCCGCGUCAUAAAAUCCAUCCGGUAAAUGGUCAUCUAUGCUGCAAAAUGACUCCACGCUGUACUUAUAGGAUAACUUCGAGGAUUCAUCAAUUGGUCUUGGGCAUUUGCUGGGUUUGGGAUUAUUGUCCAUAUCAGGAUGCCUUUUAGAUUUCAGUGUAAGCUUAGAUGCCUCUGAAGUGUUCUCUUCAACAACUUCAACUGCAUUGCGGGUUGAUGAAGCGGUAUCCUCAAGUUCAUUUUCAAUACUGCCCAAACAAGCUGGAUCGGUGCUGAUACCAGAAUUGUUGUCAUGACAACUUCUCAUAUUUAUUCCAGUUUUUCCAUCGCCAUAUUGGUCCUGAAGCAUCAUGCCACUAUCUUUUAUAAGCCCAUCUGAGUCAUAAUCGAUUAUGCAAGAUAGGUCUUCAGAUAUAGAACUUGUUUCUUUCAAAUCCUGUGCUGAACUUUCUUCAACAAUGUCUUUCAUCACUGGCCUGUUUUCCAUAUCAUCUUCAGUCAUGUUCACAGCCAUUUCAUCAAUGUCAUUUUCACAAAGCCUGCUCCUGCUGGACUCCAAACGCUCGUGGCGAGCCUGCUGUUGCAGGCAAUCCCGUCGCUUCCAGCCCUUCUUCAUUUUCUGUGCGGUAUGAGCUUUUAAAUUGGGGGAAAUAUCUGUGGGUGAGCAUGAGAGCACGCCAUUGCAAGCAUGACUUGCAGGUCUAGGUUCUGCUGAUCUGUUUAUGUUUGCGAUACCUAGACGUUGUAGCUUGUCACUCUUCAAAGGAAUUUCACCAUUUUCCCUCAUGUCACAGCAUACCCAAGAGGGUAUCAUAAAAGAAUGGGAAAUCCUAUUAAACUUGAAGAUAGAAAAAGAAAACUAUCAGGAUCUGAUAUUUUAAUUUCUAAGCAUAAAUAGAAGACAUAAGAAAACAUCCACAAUACAAUCAUCAAUAGAAUUGAUGAGUAAGUCAUAUAGUAUCUCAUGAAAAAAGUUAGUAAGAAAAUGAAUGGCUAAUAUUAACACCUCCACAACUUCUCUCUCUGGCAAACCACCCCCCAUGCAAGUGUUGUUCUGCUUGCCAACACCCUCCUUCCCCUAAUUUUCAUUACAUUUAGAAAGAUCGCAUGUUGAUUCGAUUAUAAUCAUUUUCCUCAAAAAUGACACACUAAUCUCACUCCAAGUAUAAUUGUUAAUCAGGUCCUGACAAAUGUUGAAUGUUUUGUUCCAGAAGUGAAUGAAUGCCAUAGAAUAAGCACCAAAAUGACAAAUGACAAAUAUAAACAAGACAACAAAGAUCAGAAUCAACACUGCUGAAGAUAAUGUAAAUUAUGUCAACAUGAUCAAGACAUAGCAAUAAUUAGGAACAGGUGGAAAGCAAAACUUCUGAUGGGAACAUACCUGAAGAUUAAGAUACUGCAGUGUAAGCAUAGAGACUAGUUCAACUGAUCCAAGGGAUGUCAAUCUAUUGUUCGAUAAGUCAAGGCUUUCAAGACAUCUCAAAGAAGAGAUCCCUGAUGGUAAAUCUACCAACUUAUUAUUAGUCACUUUGAGGAAUUUCAGGGCCCGCAACUCGGUUAUCCAGUUAGGCAAGUUCUUCAGCUUGUUGAAAGACAGAUCAAGUUCUUGGAGCUUCCUGAGGGAACCAAUCUCAGGGGGGAGGAACCUAAAGAUAUUUAAAAAGGAAUGUGAAACCGCCAUUUUUUUCAGGGAACAAUUGAAAUAAAUAAGUCAAUAUAGCAUAAAAUAGAAAUAAUCAUCAGGAACACCAUACAAGUUCCCUAUAUUUGGUUCAAGUGUCCAAAGUUGACAAAAAUUCUAAUAGCCUCUUAAGAGGUGCAUACCACAUACCACAUCAGUAUCGGCAUUUUUUUCAUUGUUCCACAUAUCAGCCAGUUAAUCGGCAUCUUGGUCAGUUAAUCGCUACUCGGACACCUCCAGAUAUGAAAGGCCCUAUUCGUGCCAUUAACUGCUUGGGGUAAUUUAUCGGUCUGGGCCGAUUAACUGCUAGGGAAUUUUUGGCCCAAAAAUGGCCCGUUCCCUCCCUUCUUUCACAGCUGUGCGGGCAUUAGGUUAGACAACCCCCUCCCUUCUCCCACUCGUGGAAGAGCAGCUGCUGCAGCCGUCCCAUCCCUGAGCAGCUCCCGCCGGCUCCGUCCCCUACCCGAGCAGAAGCCGGCGCAGGCCAAUCCCUGGUCCCCUCCCUGAGCAGCCCCUAACGAGCUGUCGGCUCCGCCCCCUCCCUGAGCAGCCCAUGACAGGUUGUCGGCUCCGUCCCCUCCCUGAGCAGCAACCGGCUUCGUCCCCUCCCCAAGCAGUCGCCGGCGCUGUCCCCUCCCCGGGCAGCCAGCAUUCCCUCCCGAGAUGCUUCAUCGUCUGCUCCUCCUAUCCAUGGUGUCCCCAGGCAGCAAGUAAACUCAGUUCUCUCCUCUGUGUUGUACUUCUGCUGCUGAUUAUGCGCCCUGCUACCCUCCUAUGUAGUAUCUAGACAUCUAGUAUGUGCUGAUGUGGUGCAUUUGGCAUUUGUAGCAAUCUACGGUUGCUUCUACUACAACAUGUUGCUAUGUAGGCUAGGAUAUAUAGAUAUGGCCCUAGUAAACCUACGAUAAAUUCAGUUAAUAGGGCGAUUCGCCAAACUAUCCCUACUCAGCACCCGAUCGAUAUGCUACCAGUUGAGAAUUUUGCUACAACUAAAUUUAGACCACAAAAUCGUUUAAUCAUCAUUCAAUCAGUUAAUAGGGCGAUCCGCCAAUUUAUCCCUACUUAGCACCCGACCGAUAUGCCACCAGUUGAGAGUUUUGCUACAACUAAAUUUAGACCACAAAAUCAUUUAAUCAUCAUUCAAGCAUUUGAACUUUUAAACAUCUGCACUAACCAUCAGAUCAGUACAUCUUCAGUGUUGAGACAAAGUAACUUGGCUACAACAACCAUUUAUAAUCAAACUGCAUAACAAAGUUGACAAAUGCCCCUGCACUGCCAAACUAGGGAAACAGAUUCAGAACAGCUAGUUAAAGUAAGGUGGGUAAACUGAAUGCUCCUACAAACACCAAUGACCUCUAUAAACUACUGUAGAGGCAUAGCAAAUAUUGCAGGCAUAAUGGUAGCAGCUAAUGUGCAGGUUAUAAAACUUCAAAGUAGCCACAACAAACAAUUCAACCUGAUUUAACACAUGGCAAAAGCAUCAUGGUUGCAGAAGCUAUUGGACAGUGGGCAUGGAAAAAUUGCACCAGACCAGCAUAUAUAGAUUUAUAAUUACAGUAGAUGCUAGUCUGGCUAAAGGUUUCUUAUACACAUCCAUUUCUCCUAGGGUCGUGCUACUGAAAUAAACAUAAAAUGGCACUAGAAAACACACCAAAAAAAGCAAGCUUACGCUGCAAAUCACAGAUGGAACACUAGCAUUUGGCUGAAUAGACACGAGAACAGUAAAUUAACCAUAAGCAAUUUGGCGCACUGUAGCAAAAUUAGCAGUAGGCAGGCGGGCAGAGCUGUCAAUUGAGGUAGUGGUGUUGUGCAGCAUACCUGAUGGAGAAGUGGCAGAUGGUGAGCUUGGUGAGGCACUUGAGGCCGGCGAUCUCGACGAGUAUGGAGCAGGCGGAGGGCCUGGGCGGCACCAUGGAGAGCUCGAGCUCCCUGAGCGCCCGCAUCCGCCGGAGCACGGCCCCGGAGACCCUGGGCGCGGAGACCUUGAGCUGGAGGCUAUGGAGCCCGUCCAGGUCCCCGGCCUCCGGGGGCAGCACCUCGACGUCGUUGCCGAAGAACUUGAGCGCCCUGAGCCCCCCGCGGCACUCGCCGAUGGAGCGCGGGACCAGGUUGUAGGCGUUGCGGUAGAUGUAGAGCUCGCCGCCGCGGAGCGCAGCGGGCGGCGGCGAGAAGGGGGCGAGGUCCCACGUGUUGCCGGCGACGUCGGCGGCGUCGGAUCCGCGCGGCGGGAGGCCGCCGCCGUCGGGGUCCGGCGCGGCGGGGUCCAUGCGGGAGCCACCGUCGGCCGCGGGGUUUUGGGGCGGCGCGGCGCGCCGCGGCCUAGGGUUUCGUACGGGGGGCGGGGAGAGAGUGUGAACGGGGGAGGGGAAAAGAGAGAGAGGAGGAGGGGGGGGAGCGUAUAAGUUAAGCUAUACUAAAGCUGAGAUUUGGACCGGGUUCUGAUUAGUUUCUGUCUCGAGGGGUAAAUUGGAAGGCGGCCACGCGGUCACCCCGCGCUCUCCGGGAAGACGAAGCUGGUGCGGCUCGGACGGGGUCGGGGUCAGGCUCGGGGUCGGGUGCGGUCCAGGUCGGGGUCAGGCUCGGGUGCGGUCGCGGUCCGCGUUGGGGUCGGACCCGAGCCUGUGUGUUCAAGGGCUCAAGGCCCACUUUGAAAGAGGCCCAGUCACCUUCCAAGGUUUUUGGUUGAUCCACAUCGCUCCAGUCUCCGGCUCUCGCCGCCGGCCACCCCUCCCCGUCCUCCUCUACUCCGCUUCCCGCCGGCAGGAGCGACUCCUUCUGCCGCUUGCCUCGGGCCGUGCUUCGGAGAUGCCGGCGACGGAGGAGGAAGGCGCGGCGGCGGCGGCGGAGGAGGAGGAGGCGUACGAGCAGGAGGACGGGGACGGGGAGGAGUACGACGAGGAUGAGGAGGAGGGGUACGAGUUCGGCGACGCGGCGGACGCGGCGCAGUGCGUGGAGAUGGCGGAGCGGGGGCCCGGCGGCGCCGUGGCCACCGUCAGCAUCCGGGACUUCGAGGCCCUGGCGGCGCUGUCGCGCAAGCGGAAGGCCCUCCCCGAGGAGCCGCCGCAGGGGGACGAGCCCUCCAAGCGGAGGAGGCAGCAGGGCGAGCUCUCCGAGGCGGAGUCGGCGAACCUCUUCGACCAGCUGAUGGAGGGGUUCGGCCUCCGGCGGAAGAAGCGGCGGCGGUCCAAGGACGGCAAGAGGAAGGGGCGGGCGAGAGGGCGGAGGAACCGGUGCAGCCCCGAGGUCAUCAAGAAGCUGGGCGACGCCACCCUGCUCUUCACGGAGAACAGGUUCAAGGAGGCCAUCCCCAUCCUGCACGAGAUCGUCCGGAUCGCGCCCAACCUGCCCAACUCGUACAACCUGCUCGGCAGCAUCUACAAGGAGAACGGCGAGAUCGACAAGGCCAUCAACUUCGUGAUGCUGGCCGCCUACGUCUCGCCGAAGGACGUGUCGCUGUGGAAGAAGCUCAUCGACCUGGCUCUGAAGAAGGAAGAUGCUGCUCUGGCAAGACACUGUGUUAUCAAGGCAAUGAGGGCUGAUCCGGAGGAUGUGGGGCUCAAGUUUGAUUGCGCGAACAUAUAUCGCACCCUAGGCGACUGUCACAAAGCCGCGGAGAUAUACGAGCAGAUUGUCGGGAUCCAUCCUUCCAACACCGUCGCCCGUAGAGCGGCAGCACAGAUGUACAGAGACUCUGGUCAAAUUGAUAAGGCUAUUGAUUUGUUGGAGGAUUUUAUCAAUGCUCAAACUUCAAACAUCGACUGGGGUCUUCUUGAUUUACUGAUAUCCCUUCAUCUGAGAAAUGAUGCCCAUGGUGAAGCUCUUAGGCAGAUCAAGAAGGCACAGCUGGUGUUGGGAUCUGGACACAAAUUACCAGUACGAUUGCAGGCAAAAGCAGUAAUCUGCCAUGCUUAUCUUGGAGAUAUGAAACAUGCUGAGGUGUUCCUUCAGGAUGUGCAUCUGGGGCGUUCAAAAGAGAAUGCUGAUAUGGUUAAGGAGGUCGCCAGCACUCUUCAAAGUUUGGGGCAGUAUGAGUAUGCACUAAAAUUUUACUCGGUUAUGGAAGACGUUGCUGUUCACAAUGAUGGUAGUUCAUAUGUGGAAGCUGCUCGAUGCUACAUGGUAAUGGGGGAGAAAGAAAAGGCUAUCCCUUACCUCUAUAAAGCUUUAGAAGGGAUGGAGGACAAUGUCGAUGUACGGAUAACCUUAUCUUCUCUUCUCGUUGACGAGGAUAAGAGUGAUAAAGCUAUCACUGUGCUUUCUCCUCCUCCUGAAAAUCCAGAGUUGCAGUCCGCUGAUAUCCCGGAUCAUCAGAAACCUUGGUGGCUUCAUGGGGAAGUAAAGAUGCAGCUUGCCAAACUUUAUUACAACAAAGGCAUGAUGGAGAAAUUUGUGGAAACCAUUUUUCUUCCCAUUCUCGAGACACUGGAUAUCGAGUAUGCUAAUAGAAAGGUCAAGAUGAAUAGAAAGCUUACAAAUGAUGUUCUGCAGGAAAGAACUAAAGUGCUGGGGGAAGCGCGUCAAGACAGCGUAUUUCAAGGAUGCAGGCCUAUAGCAUCGACUGCAGAGUUAGUGAAGGCAAACAGAGCAAGGAAAUUGCUAGAAAAAAGGGCAGCAGAGUCAAAUGAAGAUACAAUAAGAGAUGAUACACGUAGAGCAAAGCAGAAACCUCCUCUUCCUGGUCUGCUGACAAAUGUGGAGAACCAUCAGCUUGUGUUAGAUCUCUGUCGAACACUGACUUUGCUUCAGCGAUACUUUGAGGCGCUGCAAAUUAUCAAUCAUGCUCUUAAACUUGGAAAUGACCCCCUCUCUGAUGACAUCAAGGAGGAACUCCGGUCCUUGGGUGCUGAAAUAGCAUACAGAGCUCCAGAUCCCAGUCCUGGUUUUGAUUAUGUCCGUUAUGUAGUUCACAAGCACCCGCAAUCCAUCUCCGCAUGGAACUCCUACUACAAAGUAACAUCAAGAGCAGAAGAGAAAGGUCAUUUUAAGUUUCUUCUUCGGGCAAGAAGGGAUCCCAAGUGUGUGCCCCCUAAAAUCAUAUCUGGGCAUCGAUUUACUGCUAUCAGUCAACACCAGUCCGCUGUUCGGGAUUAUCUGGAGGCAUACAAGCUGGACCCGGAGAAUCCUCUAAUCAAUCUCUGUGUUGGUUCGUCCUUGAUCAACCUCUCCCUGGGCUUCAGGCUACAGAACAAGAACCAGUGCAUCGUCCAGGCGUUUGCGUUCCUCUACAAGUGCCUGCGCAUCGGCAGCAACAGGCAGGAGGCCCUGUACAACAUCGCCCGGGCGUACCACCAUGUCGGCCUCAAAACCCUGGCGGUCAUCUACUACGAGAAGGUUUUAGCCAUGGAGGUGGAAGAUCACCCCAUACCUAAGCUUCCAUUCGAGGAUUUACAUGAGCACCAGGAUUUCAGGCCUGGCUACUGCGAUCUCCGAAGAGAGGCUGCAUUCAAUCUGCAUCUGAUCUACAAGGAAAGCGGAGCAACUGAUCUGGCGAGGAGGAUCCUCAAGACCUACUGUUCUAUUUAGGAAUUGGUCGUUUAUUUAUACUAUAUACAACUACUUGGCCCUGUCUAUGUGGAUACUGCUACGCAGCAUUUCCAUAUAAUCGUGAAGGCAGGCGAUUUUUCAUAGUGGAGUCCAAAAGAGAUUCUAGACUUUGAAAUGGUUCUCCUCCCAGGUUUUGUCACACUGGUUUUGGAAUGAUAAUAUGCCUGUUUCUUCCAAUUUGAUCAUGAAACAAAAUGGAUGGAAAUCAUUUACACCCUGAUUGGAUCAUCGUUUCAGAGCGAUAUACACUUGUAAAAUAUACAGACCUCCAUCCGUCGAUCUUUUUCCAGGCGGAAAUCACAUUGUGGCCUGUGAAAUACACCUGCAAAGUAAUUACGGAUGUAAAAUGUUACACCCAUACCAAGCGGAGCCUUACUGUACAACAUAGAGUACAUGAAAAACUGCCUGAAGCAAAAACACUAGCUACAAGCUAGUAACACGAUACAAAAGACAAAACAAACUAAGCCUUCACUGAACUUUAUUUAUUGAGACAUAUAUAGGGGGGACUGAUAAAUCUCUACCACCAGGUGGUGGCAUCAGAGUUUCUUCGAGUAUCGGUAAACUUACAGCAGUAUCAUUACCCAUCAGACAGUACAUUUAUUGAAACAGCAUUGUCUAGAGCGUUGUAAACUGCUCAAAAAUAAAAUGCGGUGUCUCAGCGAUUCAGUGUCAAGAUUGGCAGUUUACAACAAGGGUCAUCAAGCUAGAAGUGGUUAGACCAAUCAGCAGCACUACCGACGCGAGGGAUCCCCGAGUCCUUCUUGGCCUCGCUGUCGACCUUGAAGGUGGAGCCGCACAUCUGGCCCUGGCUGUCCACACGUGGCACGGCCUUCAGCUCGUUCAGCGGGUGCUCGAAGCUCUGCAGCCCUCCAGAUGUGGUGUAGAAGCAGCCUGAUGAUCAACGAAAAUGCAGUGUCAAGAUGAUGAGUACCGCAGCUGAAUUAUAGGGAUACAAACAAAGAUGAGAUGGGUGAAGUGUGGCAACGCUGCUCUUUGUAGUGUACCUUUGGGGAAUGGCGCGAAUGAGUUUCCACAGCCUGCCUUGAGAAGCUCAUUGUCGUCAGAGAACACAAGGUGGUCUUCAGAGUCGACGCCCCAGAAGAAGGGGAUACUGCCAUCAGCAUCCUGUUCAAGAAAAGCGGUUGCAACUCAAAACCAUAUUCAACUACAGGUUAAAAUUUUACAUCCUUUGAGAAGAGAGAUGAUCUACUCACAGCAGCGACGAAGGUGGAUUUCGACACAGUGUCGUACAGGAUGAAAGCGAACCUUCCACUGAGAUCUCUCACGACCUGGCUGGCUGGGAGCGGGCCCCUGUCCCGGAGGGUUCUGUAGGCCUCAAUCAGGAUGGUAACUUCAUUUGCUGUCUUGCUCAGACCAUAGUGUUGCUUCAGGUUGCCAAUGUUCUCAACAUGUCCUUGGAACAGGCAAAAUAUGUCAUUCACAGAACCAAACAUCCUGGAUACGAGCACAAAGCCAAAAAUAGAGUCAGGUUAACACAAUUCAGGUAACCAGGUAGAAAAAUAAUUCUCAGGAGCACUAGUCGGUUAGAAAAAAAUAAUCCACGUUACUGCUAUUUGUUGGAAUUACCACAUGCCUAAAUAGACACACUAUCAUGUGAAACAUUUUCUUCAAAAGCAACAAAACAAUGUUACUUGAGUCACAUCAAUGUUCAUUAUGUUAUUCAAGUUGGCAGCCCAAUACUCCUGAUAGGUUUGACAAGUAUGUUGUCAGCAAGCAUGAUAUUUAAGUUAAAAGUUAUCGAAAAAAAAGUAAAAGUUGCUUCCCUAUCGAAAGAAAAAUUGUUCUUCACUUAUGAGUAUUUUUUGCUAUCAUCUUCACUUAUGAGUUAGUUUAUAAUGGGGGGCAGCUCCCGAGUGGUAUGCGUGUUCGUUGCACAUGACAUGUUGCUAUCGAAUAAAAAAGAGCAAUAGUCACCACCAUCACCGGUGGGCUGACAAGGAACAGUUGAUUAAUUAACAAGUAUCAAGGUAAGAUGGACAUGUGCAUUGUAUCAGAAACUUCAAUGUUACUUCCCUUCUUCAUGACGAAUCUUUAAGACACGGAUGCAAAAACAUAGUGUAGGGAAAAAAUAUGGCAUAUUAUAUCUACAUAAAGGGUUCAGGCAAGACUCCACCUCCUCACAUCACGAGAUUUGUUUGAAUCUCUUCACGCUGGAUCAAAAUCAUCGGUGUUGGAUAACAUGAUUGGACCCAGAAUACCAGUGUGAAGUUUCAACUUUGAACAGCAGGAAUCAAGACAAAAGUAUCAGUCUCAACAGCUCGAAUGGUAAGCUGGAUCUUGACUGUUUAAACGCACAACAUUCAGAAAUAUUCACAACCUUGGGCUAGAGGUAAGCCGCCACAGCAAAAUUUCAGUACAUGAUGCGACGAUCCUAUGCCUUCUCUCUAACUGGAAUGAUGCAUUUCGCUAAAUUGUUUCUCUGGGUGCCACUAAGCAAGCCCAGCUAUGAACAGGUUCCCCAAUCUACGAGCCUACUAAAACGAUCAAAUAAAGGACUACUACUCCAGUUAAGCCGUUCCUAAUUUGGACAGGAUCUGAACAUAUACGAAACAAUGAUUAAAUUCAACAACCCGUCAUAAUGGUGCUGUCACAUAACUUAUGUUGCAGAUCUGAAGAAGAGUCUGGCCUAGAAUUUACGCUGCGGAGCCCCCAACUACAGACUAGAAAUCGCCGGAAAGCUCCAAAACCAGCACGCCACUGAAAGCUACAUCUGUGGCUGGCCUGGCCCGGAGAAACCAAACGAGAAAGGGAGAUCUCCGCAGGCUCCAAACGGGAACCUCCAAAGUCCCAGCGAAGCGAUCACAUCACCGGAUCAAGCGCAGUGAAGGCGUCAACACGGCGCAGCUUUCGCAUCACCCGACAGCACUACAGGCACCGGCUUACUCGUGGUAUUAUUGAGCAAGACUAGCGGAUAACGGAGCCGUACCUGGGGACGAGGGGGUUCUUGUUGGCCGAGGAGUAGGCGAGGGCGCCGGCGGCGCCGAGGCUGACGGUGACCGCGGCGUCGUUGGCGGCGGCGAAGCCCUUCAUGAGCGCGGCCGCGCCGCCGCCCCCUGCCGCCGCACCUCCGGCCGCCGGCGGGCUGCGGAGGCCCUCCGGGCACUUGGCCACCGUCUGGUCGAACACGGCCAGCAUCUCGGCGCGGCGGUGGUCACCUCUCCGAUCUCUCCUCUCUUUCCGUGCGCUGAGGCUGUGCUGUCCCCGUCUGCUUUGUCUGCGUGCUGCGGUGUGAUCGAUCUCACGGCGACGCUGAAUGGCCACCGCAAGUCAACUGAUAUAGGGCGCUCGGUUUCCCGUUUUGCCCCUUGGUCGGUCGGUUGGUGGGAAAUUCCCGGGGCUUUUCUCGUGGCCGCCAAUGGUUUUCGUGUCUCGGUAUCCGUUUUUUUCUCUACGUGGAGUAUAAAUAAACCGUAUAAAAUCCAGAAAAAAUCGCAGGGGAUGCAAAAAGUUGGCCGUUUAUUAUCUGUAGAUUAUCUUGCUGUGUCCGAGGGUAGUUUGGUAAUUUGGGUACAUAUAAUAACUGUCCUAGUCCCUGUGGGGUCUUAUCCAUUUUUUUCUGGUUGAUUGAUUGNNNNNNNNNNNNNNNNNNNNNNNNNNNNNNNNNNNNNNNNNNNNNNNNNNNNNNNNNNNNNNNNNNNNNNNNNNNNNNNNNNNNNNNNNNNNNNNNNNNNNNNNNNNNNNNNNNNNNNNNNNNNNNNNNNNNNNNNNNNNNNNNNNNNNNNNNNNNNNNNNNNNNNNNNNNNNNNNNNNNNNNNNNNNNNNNNNNNNNNNNNNNNNNNNNNNNNNNNNNNNNNNNNNNNNNNNNNNNNNNNNNNNNNNNNNNNNNNNNNNNNNNAAUCUAUCUAUCUCUGGUGGCAUGAGUAGAGGAGAGGAGAGCCAUCGUUUUUUCAAAGCGAGCACGGGCCGACCUCCACAUUUCCAGAUGCGUUGUCGUGGAAAACAUCAUCUCCGAUCGUGCUUCAUCCCCCGGAUCUUUGGUUUCACGGGUCGAGCUUCGCGCAAGACCCAGUUUUUUUUUUUUUUACGUCUCCAACAUGGAUCAUCGAAAUGUCCAUGAAUAUUUGGAUCAAACAGUCCAGACAUUUUUAAUAAUUCAAUGCGGAUCAUCAAAUUAGGCAGAACUAGUCCGUGUGUUUGAAAUCCCAAGAUUGGUCCCAAAUUGAAGGAGGAGCUAUGUGGGAGUCUGGGCGCCCGCCAUGUCAGACUCCGACAUAUCGGACCCACCCAAAACCCGACUCGGAGGCAAGAGCCCAUGCAUUUUCACAGUCCUGUCAUUCUUCCACGCCAAAGCCCGUCCUCUACGCCCUGAUCGCCUUUGCCCCCGUCCGUUCUGCCGUCCACCACCGCCACGAUGGACCCGUCGAAGCACUUCACGAUGUUCGCCGUCCCACUAAACCCGCAAAACGAUAAGCACUACGCUUGAGUAAGAGGGCCGCCGAGCUCCGCCUCCACAGCGGAUCGACAUACCGGUGCCACCCAGCCAAUUACAGCCCUGGCCCGCACAGUACAAGUCGUCAUACUACUACGCUGACCAUCAAAAUGGUCAGUCCGACACAUGGCAAUCGAUGCAGCACUCCUUCACCUCCGCCUUUGGCAAUCCUCCACCAUACAUCGUCGAACUCAACAAUGACUGCAUGUUCACUGAGUCACCAACGCUCAUCCGACCACGGUUUUCGUCCGAGAAUCCCUCGUCCAACAAUGCCCGGUAAAAUAACGCAACAUCACUACUAGGGAAAAGCCUAGCAGCAGCGCGGGUUCUAGGUAUAUCAGUAGCGCGGGGAUCGGCGCUACUAAUAAGGCGCUACAGCUAACCCGUAGCAGCAGCGCGUGCACGCCCGCGCUACUGCUAUACAAGUGUAGCAGCAGCGUGCUGCGUGGAAGCUCGCUACUGCUAAUAGCUCUAGCACGCUUUGUCUGGACGCGCUACUGCUACUGUCACGCUGUUGCUAACUUUUCUCCACUCGCUACUGCUAAUUUUAGUAGUUUUUGAUUUUUUUCUGCAUAUUUGUUUUGUAUUUGAACACGCUUUAUACAAGAAUCUUUAGCAGAUACAAAUGUGAUCAUGAUACACAUACAAAUGGUUGCGAGACCACAAAUAUAAUCAUAGCAUAUACAUACAAAUAGUCUCAUCAUAAUCAUCAUCCAACACAGUGGUAUCUCGUCAUCAUCUCGAAAAUAGCGAUACAUGCAAGUCUCGAAUACUUGUAACUACAACGUCAUCCAUCUAAACAAUGGUAUACGCGAGAAGAGCUAUCACUAUGAGUGAGAGCGGAACUAUGCAGUACAUGAGGUGGCGGUUACGAGUCCUCUCUCGCGCUAGCGUGAACCUCAAGUAACUAGCUUCUCCUUCUUGUCUGCUUUUGAAGCCUUUAUGGCUGGCGCCCGAGACCCCAUUCACUUGCGCCUGACACUCAAGCCACUCGUUGUACACCUCCAGAACCUUCCCUUUAUACACGACAUAGCACUGCCAUCUCGCCAUCAAGAAACUAGGUACCUGUUAGAGAUGCAUCUUCAUCAAGAGGAUGUACAAUCAUAUGCAACAAAAUAUACUAGAGCAACACGAAAAAGAAAGGGUUAGCAACUAGAUGCAACAUACAGUACGCAAACUAAUUAACUAGAGGUACGCAGGUCAUCAUACCCAAACUAACAAAGUAGCGUUACGCAAGUUCGGCAGGGACAGUGGACAUCACAAAGUUUCAUCUCUACAGAAAGUAUACAAGUUCAACCGACACAUAUCAUCAUCAUCGGCAUCGUAAAUCACUAGAAGUUCCAUCCUUCCAUAUCAUCGAGGAUGGACCCUAGCUUCUUGAAUGGCGUGAGGUCUUGACGUUGCAUGCCUAUGCGAGUUCGGACGUCAGCUCGUGAUAUAGGGCCGUGGUGGAACAUCCCCUUCUCGUCGACGACUUCUUUCAUGAUGAUCGUCGCAAUGUCCCUUUGGAUGCGAAAGAAGUCAUCUCUAAGUUUAUAAUCCGCUUCUCCAUGAGAUUCUAGCCACUUGUGGAUAUGAUCAUCAUUUCUGCUUGUCAUGCGAAGCUUUUGGUGAUCCGUGCUGAACUCAAUCAUGAGAUGGAGGAUGUAGAAUCCAUCCUUCUUGCUUGGUUUUGGGACAUGGAUGCAGCAGAAGUUAGUUUUAUGCGCGAAACCCAUCUUCUUGUUCCUUUGUUUCCUGAUCUGCAUGUGGCCACCUCUAAUGCUGAAGCCUUGGAGAGCAUCAUCUAGAAUAUUCAUUAUGUGGGUGUAGUCCUUUUUCUCGUAGUCUCUGGAAGGGUCGAAAUACACGGCGUGGGAGACUCACGGGUAAAGAACGAUAAGGACGGCGCGCCCAUUGCUGCGGGGAAAAGACACCUCAAAUUAUUCUCCAUAUGAGCGAGAAGGAACGAUUGAAAUGUAUGAAAGGGUUGCCCGGAACUGACUUACUUUGGAUGAUAAGGCAGGAGGACAAUUUCCUGGUCCUUAUUCUGUACCAUGAAGUUUUGGAGGUAGUCCCUAGCAGUUUCACGCUCAAAGUCGCCGAGACUCAAGAAAGAAUCGUGCAUGUAGUACGAAUCCGCCACACAGAUUUGCGAGGCUUCUUCUCUCUUCAUGACGAAGCUCAUAUGUAGCACAAAAAGGCGGACGAUUGUAAAAUCGAGCCGCCUUGUCAGAAACAUCUCAAAGAUAUGGUCAAACCGAAGGAAGAACACCUCCGCGGGCUGUGUGUCGACGUAGCACUUCCCCUCAGGCACACGAGCCGCGUAUGUCAGAUAUCUUGGAUCCUUCGAGGCUAGUAGGCUUUUCUCAGUCGAUAGCACAUGGUCGUGCAGUCUCCUGAGAUCCCCUGAUAGUGCCUCUAGCGGUUUCGGCGGUAGCAUCGGCUCGCCCGUGAGAUGGAACAUGGCCGCACCUUUCACGGGUACACGCUCUUCAGAAUCCAUCGUCUGGCUGCUAUGUGCUCUAGCUUGUUUGGAGGCAGCUAUCUUCCCCGAUCUCUUCCUCUCCUUUUUCUUGGGCACACCUUCCAGACCCUUCCUUAACCCCUGCCCCAGUGUUCCCGGGCUAAGCACUGUACGACCCUCGGCUAGUUGAGCCUGUGUUGAGGCGGCAUCUUCAGGCGUGUCCUGUGAGGAUUUCAUGAAGAGAGACUUUUUGCAAUCCCUGCUACGACCUUCCUGCCCGGGCAGAUCAUCCAUAUCCUCAUUCUCAUGCUGAUAGCCCGAUUCGUCAUAUGGUUGACUCAUCAUAUCUAUGUCACAGUCAUACGCGUUUGUACUGAGAAAACCCAUUGGGUCGACCCCCGUCUCAUCAUCCAUUCUAUGUUCUACAGGACCGAUUACAUCAGCGAGUACUACUUUCCAAAUAGUCUACAAGACCGUCUACUACAAAUAGUCUACUAUCUAAAAAUAGCAUAUACAUACAAAUAGUCUACAGGACCGUCUCAUCAUAGCAUAUACAUACAAAUAGUCUACUAUGAAAAAAAUGAGAAAUGACAUAAAAAAGAAAUCUAUGUUUGCCGGAAUGUCGUUUCUCAGCACUCGAUAUGGCUACUAUCUAGCACAAAUCAUGCCAAAAUUCACGGAAAAUUUCGGCAUGACCUUUGCUAAAAAAUGGACAUAUCGAGCGUCUGAAAUUCACCGGAACGGAAAUGAAUCAACAUUCCGGCGUAACAUAGGCCACUCGGAUCAUUUACCCUGCACAUAAUCAUCAUGUCCAAAUGACAUGUCCAAAUUUCUAAAUAUGACAUGUCCAAAACAUCACAUGUCCACAUAUCACAUGUCCACUUCAAAUUUGCAUAUAAAAGGAAGAAAAAUAUAGAACUUAAAGAAAAAACCUAGCUAAAUUCAUAACUAAAUAUAUAACCUAAUUAACCAUCUGCCCUAACUAAAACCUAAGUAAAUUAACCAAAAAACCUAGCUACCAGAGAGAGGAGGAGCGGUGGGGGGCUUACAGAGGGUGCAGGCCCGAUGAAGGCCGAGGUUGGGAGGGGCAGGAGUCGGGGUCAAGCGCCGGGGCCCGAGCCGGGGUCGGGGUCGGGGCCGGGGCCGUGGCNNNNNNNNNNNNNNNNNNNNNNNNNNNNNNNNNNNNNNNNNNNNNNNNNNNNNNNNNNNNNNNNNNNNNNNNNNNNNNNNNNNNNNNNNNNNNNNNNNNNNNNNNNNNNNNNNNNNNNNNNNNNNNNNNNNNNNNNNNNNNNNNNNNNNNNNNNNNNNNNNNNNNNNNNNNNNNNNNNNNNNNNNNNNNNNNNNNNNNNNNNNNNNNNNNNNNNNNNNNNNNNNNNNNNNNNNNNNNNNNNNNNNNNNNNNNNNNNNNNNNNNNNNNNNNNNNNNNNNNNNNNNNNNNNNNNNNNNNNNNNNNNNNNNNNNNNNNNNNNNNNNNNNNNNNNNNNNNNNNNNNNNNNNNNNNNNNNNNNNNNNNNNNNNNNNNNNNNNNNNNNNNNNNNNNNNNNNNNNNNNNNNNNNNNNNNNNNNNNNNNNNNNNNNNNNNNNNNNNNNNNNNNNNNNNNNNNNNNNNNNNNNNNNNNNNNNNNNNNNNNNNNNNNNNNNNNNNNNNNNNNNNNNNNNNNNNNNNNNNNNNNNNNNNNNNNNNNNNNNNNNNNNNNNNNNNNNNNNNNNNNNNNNNNNNNNNNNNNNNNNNNNNNNNNNNNNNNNNNNNNNNNNNNNNNNNNNNNNNNNNNNNNNCCGUGGCCGGAGCCGGGGUCGAGGUCGGGGUCAGGGUCGGGGUCGGGUGCCGGAGCCGGCGCCGGGGUCGGUCGGGGUCGGGGUCGGGGGCGAGCGCAGAGGCGCGGCGAGGGCAGGGCUCCGGCGGCGCGACGGGGGAAGAGAGAGUGUGUGGAUUUGGGGGAAAAGAGGCGGGAUGAAGAGAGGAGUGGGGAUUUUGGGGGUUAAAUGGGCAUAGUAGUAGCGCAUUUAGGAAAUACGCGCUAUAGCUACUCCAGGUAGCUAUAGCGGUUUCGUGUAGAAACCGCUACUGCUACCUUGACUAGCUGUAGCUCUUUUCUCACAAAAGCGCUGUUGCUAUAACCAGUAUCUAUAUAACAGUUUUCCUGUUUGUUUCCUUCUAUUUUCUUUUCCUUUAUUUUCUCUCACUUUUCUUUUCUUUUCUUCCGAGAGCAGUGAACGAAGGGAAUUGAAGGCGAUAUAUAUUGCAUCAUUUGACGGUUAAAUAUGUAUACAAAAUAGGAAUAUAUAUAUAUAUAUAUAUUACAUCAUUGGACCCAUGUAUAAUAAUGGCUAAGUGUGUAUACAAAAUAGGAACAUAUAUAUUACAUCAUUUGACCGAUAACAUACGGUUCCUCAGCGUUGACGUUUCCGUUUUUGAGUCAGCUCUUUCCCUUCUUGUUCGUUGGAGAAUAAUUGAGCCCCUCAUUAUGACUUUGCCUUUUCCAUGGAGUACGAUUUUUCUUAGGUAAUGCAGUAUCGGUUCUUCUUUUGACGUAUACUUCAUCAUCAUCAUCAUCUUCCCUCAUUGGGUUGCCGUACUGAUCGUAGUCUUCCUCGUUGGCGACUCCAUCCAUUCCAAUGAUGUUCCUUUUGCCUCUCCUCACGACAACACGGCUGGGAUUGCGUGGGUCGGUUAUGAAGAAGCAUUGUGUCACAUGCUUAGCGUGUACCCAUGGCUUGUUUUUUGCGAUAGCGUUCACGGUAGCGCUCUUGGCAUCGGGUAUAGUCAUGGUAGUGAAAUUCCGGUUUUCUCUUUCGACAUUCUUAGCCCAUCUGACACGGAACAUCGUCGUGUGUUGCAGUCCAGAGUAGUCAAGCUCCCAGAUCUCCUCGACCCUUCCGUAAAAUCUUUCAGUUGCGCCGUUGUCGCUGCUGGUCAUGCAUUCCAUCGUCACCCCUGAGUUCUGAUCAUCACUAUCCAUAUCUUUGGCCUCCGUGUAGAACGUGUAUCCGUUGAUAUCGUAUGCCUAAUAGGUUAGGAGGUUGGGCGAGGGGCCAUGUGCUAAGGCGUAUAUGAGCAAUCCGUCCUUAGAGCCCUCCUCCGGGGGAUUAGCAAUAAUAUGCUCUUUGAACCAAUGCAGGAAAGUGGAGUUGUGCUCUCUAGUAACUUCGGCGUCCGUCCUGCAUACCCCCCGGUCACGAUACUUCUUUGCGAUAAUUUCUUUGUGCAGUGCCACGAAAGGAUCUACCUCGUCUAGGUGUUGUAGCACUACCAAGUUUGCUCUGUCAAAGUCGCUGCGUCGAUCUAAGUAUGCCACGUGCAGUUCCCUGCGACCGUUGGAGUGACCUUCUCCUUCGAGCCUCCCAUCGUGCUUGUUAACGGGCAAACCAACACUAACACCACGCGGCUGGUCUGCGCCAUAUAGAAAAUUCUUGCAGAAAGAGAUGCACUCUUGUGUCAGAUAGCCCUGGACGAUGCUUCCAUCCGGACGAGACAUGUUACGAACGAAUCCUUUGAUGAUCCCAUUCAUCCUCUCAAACGGCAUCAUGUUGUGCAGAAAUGACGGCCCCAGGUCUAUCAUGUCGUCCACAAUAUGGACACACAGAUGCACCAUCACGUCAAAGAACGCGGGCGGGAAGUACAUCUCAAGCUCAUUCAGUAUCACAACGAUCUCUUCCUGUAGCCUUCGGAGCUGCUUCAGACUGAUGGACUUUCGAGAGAUGACGUCAAAAAAGUUGCAGAGACCAAUAAGCGUGUCACGGACGUGCUUGUCCAUUACCCUCUAAGGGCAACAGGUAGUAUCUGCGUCAUCAUCACAUGACAGUCAUGGGACUUCAUCCCGCUGAACCUUUUCUUGUCCAUGUCUAGAUAUCUGCUUAUCUUGCCACAGUAACCGGAACUAACUUUGACUCUGGUAAGGCACUUAAAGAAUUGACCGAUCUCAGCCUGACUUAAGGUGAAGCAAGA
rnacentral:lncRNA from 1 species